UGGGUGACGAGCGGCGGACGGGUGAGUAUGUCUGGGAACUGCCUGAUGGAGGGGGAUAACUACUGGAAACGGUAGCUAAUACCGCAUAACGUCGCAAGACCAAAGAGGGGGACCUUCGGGCCUCUUGCCAUCAGAUGUGCCCAGAUGGGAUUAGCUAGUAGGUGGGGUAAUGGCUCACCUAGGCGACGAUCCCUAGCUGGUCUGAGAGGAUGACCAGCCACACUGGAACUGAGACACGGUCCAGACUCCUACGGGAGGCAGCAGUGGGGAAUAUUGCACAAUGGGCGCAAGCCUGAUGCAGCCAUGCCGCGUGUGUGAAGAAGGCC
rnacentral:rRNA from 1 species